CGGGCGCGAGAGCCGCGAGCAUGCUGAAGGAGGGGAAGCGCGGCGGCGGCGGCAGUGGGCGGGGUGUCGCCACCUGCUCUUGUCACCCUGAGACUCGCAGGUGCCACAGAACACGCUGACACCGUGAUCUGAUGCCGUCAGUUCUGUGAGGGCAGAGGCUUUCAUACUGAGCCCAUGGAAACCCCAGCAUCGCUUUCCAGUCACUCUCCUGGUGGAAGGCCCCUCUCCACACUCCAAGCUGGCUUCCAAGGAGUGGAUUUCAAAGCUGCUGCAGAGCAAGGUUGUUGGCAGAAGCCCUCCCCAGGGCGGGGCCACAGCAGAUGCAUACAGGCAAGGUCCGCUAUGUAGCCCAGGCUGGCCUCGAGCUCAUGGCCAUCUUCCUGCUUCAGCCUCCCAAGUGCUGGGAUCACAGACCGCGCCCUGGGUUCACGUCCUGUGCGAAGCCUCCCUUGCCUGCCCAGUGCUCUUCACUCCCAACUUCUGCCUUGGUUGCAGAACUUUCCACCCUGCGUCUGUCACUGUGUCUCUGCUCAGCCCUGUGGUGUAUGGCGCCUGAGACGGAAGCCCUAAGAGACGAGUUGUGGGACCUCGAGAAAGUGGCUGGCAACGCCACGCCUCAGCUGGGGUUUCCGGUUCCAGUUUCAGUUCUCCUCACGCUCUGCCCUGGUCUGUGCGUCUGCAGGCACCUGUGCUCUUUUCGGUGCUGGAGACUGAACUCAUGCACGGCCUUGCGCUGAGCUGUGACACGCGCUCGCAGCCGCCGCGUUGCCGAGGGCGAAGAACCCUGAAGCCUAUUUAAGAAAGGAAGAUAGAAGACACAUUAGGAACUGCAAUGGAAAGCCAUGGUUUCUCUGGGAAUGGCUGGAACACAGUGAGGACUUCCGGCGGCUGCAGGGGUGACCAGAAGUUACUGGUCACCUGGAAGGAGGCAGAGCCUCACCUUGAUAGAGGCUGCAGGAACGUGUCUCCUCAUCAGGCCACCACCCUGCUGCGUAGCCCUGUGACCUGCAUGUGCUUAUCAUCGUUGCUAAACCCUAGUUUCCUUAUUUGUAAAACAGGGAUAUAAUUAUUAGGAUCCGGGCAUGGUGGUGCAGACCUGCAGUCCCAGCCCAUGGGAGGCUGAGGCAGGAGGAUCUCCGUGAGUUCCAGCUAACCUGGGCUACAUAGUGAAACCUUGUCUCGAAAAGAGCCAAACAAAAAUAAUAAUAAUUUAAAAAAUAAUUACUAGGACUCUCUUGGGAUUGUGAGUAUUGAGUGAGCUAACAGGCUCACAGGCCUUAGAGCAGAGGAUGUAGUUAAGUGUGCAAAAAAAGAAACAUAAGGGGGUUCUGGCUGUGUCUGGGUAUCACCCAAAGCCUCCUGUGGUCACGGUGGGCUUUUCAGAGGUGCUGGAUCCAGAGUGUGUGACCCUGGGACUGAUUCAUGGUGCAAUGCUAGGCUCAAGGGCACCGGGAUUACGGGUGUGAGUGCUGCCCGCCCUAAGCAGCCUGGAUAAGACAGAAGGGACGGAAAGAGCUGAGGUCUCCCCUUGUUGCUUUGCUGCCUUCUGCCCACCAUGGGCUGUUUCUCCUCGGCCCUGCCACCCCACUUUGGAGCCAGCCGACUAUGGCCUGGAACCUCUACACACGGUGAGCUAAAUAAACCUUUCCUCCCUUAA